ACGGGAGGCAGCAGUGGGGGAUAUUGGACAAUGGGGGCAACCCUGAUCCAGCGACGCCGCGUGAGUGAAGAAGUAUUUCGGUAUGUAAAGCUCUAUCAGCAGGGAAGAAAAAAUCAAAAUUGACUGUACCUGACUAAGAAGCCCCGGCUAACUACGUGCCAGCAGCCGCGGUAAUACGUAGGGGGCAAGCGUUAUCCGGAUUUACUGGGUGUAAAGGGAGUGUAGGCGGCCUAGCAAGUCAGAAGUGAAAGCCCGGGGCUUAACCCCGGGACUGCUUUUGAAACUGUCAGGCUAGAGUGCAGGAGAGGUAAGCGGAAUUCCUAGUGUAGCGGUGAAAUGCGUAGAUAUUAGGAAGAACACCGGUGGCGAAGGCGGCUUACUGGACUGAGACUGACGCUGAGGCUCGAAAGCGUGGGGAGCAAACAGGAUUAGAUACCCUGGUA
rnacentral:rRNA from 1 species